UUCCUUUCCUGCACACCUUUUUGUUGUCCUUGGAGCUAACAACUCUGUUGCUUUCUGUUUGCUUCAUCUUCUACACAUUUAAAUUUGCUAUCUGUCAGUGUCUGCUCUCAAGACAUUCAGAAUCUUUGGGUACUCUAACAAUUUCAUCAAUCUCCCCCAAAAUCUCUCCCAAAGCCUUCUAAUGCACUGCAACCUGGACCUGAGGCACAUCUCUCAUCUUGGAAUCUCGCUUCGUGGUCAUUCCAGGGUAGUUCCCUUCUGGAUGAGGCCUGGAACUGGGGCAGCCACUUGUCAAGCAACAGAGCAUGGAGCCAGCAAAGGACAGAGGGCCAUACAGAUGGCCAGAGCCAAAGCACUCCACCCUAUUUCUGUUUUUCCUGUGCUGUAAACCAAUAAAUUUAUUAUUCAAACA